AAUGAACGCUGGCGGCGCGCCUAAUACAUGCAAGUCGAGCGAGAAGACGUAGCAAUACGUUUGUAAAGCGGCGAACGGGUGAGGAAUACAUGGGUAACCUACCCUAGAGUGGGGAAUAACUAGCCGAAAGGUUAGCUAAUACCGCGUACGCUCCUUGGACUUCGGUUCAGGGAGGAAAGCGAUGCCGAGGGUAUCGCGCUCUUGGAUGGGCUCAUGUCCUAUCAGCUUGUUGGGAGGUAACGGCUCACCAAGGCUUCGACGGGUAGCUGGUCUGAGAGGACGAUCAGCCACACUGGCACUGCGACACGGGCCAGACUCCUACGGGAGGCAGCAGU
rnacentral:rRNA from 1 species